GGUCCGCUGCGCGGUUCGUUAGGUCGUUUUAUCUCUGGGGCUAUAUCCAUACCUCCGGGAGCUGCCUCUGUCGGGACCGUGGUCCCGGUACGCGGCACCCACCUGCACUGGCAGGCCACAGAGGAUAUUCAGAACCGACGGCCCUGCGGCACCGC
rnacentral:other from 1 species